rnacentral:siRNA from 1 species
UGAACUCUAACCUUCUUGCCACAG